rnacentral:rRNA from 1 species
AGCUCCAAUAGCGUAUAUUAAAGUUGUUGCAGUUAAAAAGCUCGUAGUUGAACUUCAGACCUGGCCGGGCGGUCUGCUUAACGGCAUGUACUGUCUGGCUGGGUCUUACCUCUUGGUGAGCCGGCGUGCCCUUCAUUGGCGUGCGUCGGGGAACCAGGACUUUUACCUUGAGAAAAUUAGAGUGUUCAAAGCAGGCCUAUGCCUGAAUACAUUAGCAUGGAAUAAUAAAAUAGGACGCGCGGUUCUAUUU